rnacentral:rRNA from 1 species
GCACACAGCUCAGUAACACGUGGCUAAUCUGCCCUUGAGACGAGAACAACCCCNGGGAAACUGGGGCUAACUCUCGAUAGGCGAAGAACUCUGGAAUGAGUCUUCACCCAAAAAACUUCACGUUAUCCUCGUGAAGUCGCUCAAGGAUGAGGCCGCGACCGAUCAGGUUGUUGGCGAGGUAACGGCUCACCAAGCCUUUUACCGGUGCGGGCCGUGGGAGCGGGAGCCCGGAGAUGGGUACUGAGACAAGGGACCAGGCCCUACGGGGCGCAGCAGUCGCGAAAACUUUGCAAUAAGCGCAGGCUUGACAGGGCUAUCCCG